CGGGACGACAGCCCGGCCACUAGUGACGCCGCCUCCCGGGCCACGCUGGACUCGGACGGGCUCACGCAGCAUCUGGAGGGCGAGGGCCGGCCCCGGCUGGGGCGAACGCUCUCACUCGGCAGCGUCAACUCCGCCUAUGGCACACCCGGUGCCAGCCGACACAACUUCAGCUCCUCUGAUGCCGGCGGCGCGAACGCUGGUUUUGCCAUGGCGCCAACAGAUGACAGCACCACUCGGGAGCGGUGCCCGACGCGACGCCGCCGCAGCGAGGAGGGAGCGCGUGCGGUCCGUGUGUACCUGGCCUAGCCCGCCGGCUCGUCACUAUGCUGGGGCCGGCUGAGGCGCGGCAGCGUCACGCGUCCACCGAGUCAUGUCCAAGGGUACGCUAUCCGGCGCGGGAAGACUAAUGGAUCUGCGCUUGCUAAUGGGUUCUGCGCAGCACACCUCCGCCACCCAGCAUGGCGAGGUUUGCAGCUGUAAUGUCUGGUUGCUCGAGCUUUAACUCGAACAGUGCCCUGUCCUGACGUCCGAGUGCUUAGCAGCUGCUGGUGAACGUCCGCCACCACGCAUGCAAGCAUGGCCGCUCACACAAUAUUUCACGCGCGUGGCAGCGGGCAGAUACCGCAAGAUGUAGUUACACCGCAUAUCAUUCGGUAUCAGCGGUGCCUGUGUGUGCAUGUGAGCUGUUUUUCAGUGUGCAAUAUAAGGCCGUAAUGUC